UACGUAGGGGGCUAGCGUUGUCCGGAAUCAUUGGGCGUAAAGAGCGCGUAGGCGGCCCGGUAAGUCCGCUGUAAAAGUCCAGGGCUCAACCCUGGAAAGCCGGUGGAUACUGUCGGGCUCGAGUCCGGAAGAGGCGAGUGGAAUUCCUGGUGUAGCGGUGGAAUGCGCAGAUAUCAGGAGGAACACCGAUGGCGAAGGCAGGUCUCUGGGCAUUAACUGACGCUGAGGAGCGAAAGCAUGGGGAGCGAACAGG
rnacentral:rRNA from 1 species